rnacentral:rRNA from 1 species
AACGAACGCUGGCGGCAGGCCUAACACAUGCAAGUCGAGCGCCCAUUCGGGGGAGCGGCGGACGGGUGAGUAACGCGUGGGAAUAUGCCCUUAUCUACGGAAUCGCCUCGGGAAACUGAGAGUAAUACCGUAUACGCCAUGUGGGGGGAAGAUUUAUCGGGGAAGGAUUAGCACGCGUUGGAUUAGGUAGUUGGUGGGGUAAUGGCCUACCAAGCCGACGAGCCAUAGCUGGUUUGAGAGGAUGGUCAGCCACACUGGGACUGAGACCCGGCCCCGACUCCUACGCGAUGCAGCAAAGGCGAAUCUUAGACCAUGGGGGCAACCCUGAUCUAGCCGUGCCGCGUAAGUGAUGAAUGCCGUAGAGUUGUAAAGCUCUUUCAGCUCGGCAUAUAGUGACGGUACCAGCAGAGAAAGCCCCGGCUAACUCCGUG